AAAGGCUAACGCAGUAAGACGUGUCGAGACGUGUCCCGGCUUGUCGGCGUUUCGCGACCAACGAGCAGUGUCUGAUUGGAAUUCGAAUAGAAGGCAAGCUACCGGCACGACGCCAUGACACUUGGAAACAUUGAAAUCGCGCCAAUUUCAAAUCGUCUAACAAGGAUUGAUCGUCGACAGUUUGCGGUUCGAUGGAGUAAACAAGAGACUGAACGUGAUCGCGUAAGAAGAAGUACAAUCCAGUCGCAAGAUCUCCGUGGCAGAGAACGGUGAAACGUGGGGCCUCAGGAUGAAUCUCUGCAGUUAGAAGUUUCCCACCCUGGAAGCAAGGGUCGUGUCUCUGACAGCCGUUUUCUAGCACACAAGCCCGUUGUUCUGUCGUUAGAAACGUUUUGUCGGACUUUGUCCGGCGCGAUUGUUUCCCGAAUCGCGGCUUAAAUUGCUUUAUCGGUUCGCGGUCAGGCAUAUUUCCCUCUCCGUUCUCGAUUUUCCGCUCCACCCUUUUUCCCCGCCUGGGAGAAUUCUCGUUCCCGCGGAGAACGGCGGCGACGGGUUUUCCGCGUUUCCAUUUAUCCUUGACCCGAUCUCCAUUUAACGUUAAAUAAUACCCCUCGCGUUUCCCGUUCAUCGCGUACAAUAUUUAUUUCUCUGUCGCCGGUGCACGUGUGCAUGAAACCGUGACGACGCUACACACGGUCUUUGUACGAAUUUCGAAUUGUCUCUCGCGUGUUCGUUCGAUCUACACUGCCGGUCCGUAAGUAUCAGAAACGUUGUCGGUGUUUGAAUUAUUAUAACUCGGUGAAAAGUAGUAGCUCAACGAUAUUCCUCGGGUCAUUUUAAACGUCGAACCAUCUACUAUUAGACAGUAAAGGAUUGUUAUUAUUAAUUUCGAAUUGUCGCUCGCGCGUCUCGCGUGUUCAUUCUAUCUACACUGCCGGUCCGUAAGUAUCAGAAACGUUGUCGGUGUUUGAAUUAUUAUAACACGGUGAAAAGUAGCAGCACAACGAUAUUACUCGGGUCAAUUUAAACGUCGAAACAUCUACUGUUAGACAGUAAAGGAUCGUUAUUAUUAUGUUCCAAAGAUUGAGAACGUUUGGACCAAAUGUUCCGAUGCUUAUGGCGGUGUAUUUCUUUCUGGAGACACUCGAGGAUUCAACGUUGCGUCGACGGUUUUUAUUCGCGUCUCGCUACACUUGUGCCCGCCCCCGGUUCGCGCCGUUUCCUCGACGAAUUCUCUCGGUACAGCGUGCACGAGACUCGACGGCCCUACCAGUCGGUAAUUUCACCCAGAAGUUGGACGAUCCUUUUUGUUUUCUUAUUUCCCCUCUGUACGCCCGCGCGCGUUCUCUCUCGAGCGUGAAUUUCCCGGCCGUGGAACGCCGAGGAGGAAGUCCCGCGUUUCCGCUCGACCUUGACCCCGAUUCACGUUCAAUGUCAAACCACGUUCUUUAUUCCCCCGUCGUUCCCUCCGGCGGUAUUCCCCUCCCUCGAUAAAGUUUCGAGUUUACCAUUAAUAUUCAAUCGAAGGAACACGCCGCGCGGUUCACGCUCCCCCCUCCGGCUAGCGGGAAGCAAAUCCUGAAUUCCCUCAUUAUAUCGACGAAUAAUUAAGGUCACCGUUGCGCCGUCCGGCCGAGAAUCGAACCAGCACCCGCCGUCGGAUAAUUCUAUAGCGAACUUUAUCCUGUCGGAAGGUAAUACGUUUGUUCCGUCGAAUCAAUGAGAACCCGGCACCGCGGUGUGCAAGACAGAGACGGAGGAAGGAGAACGUGUUCUCCUUUGAAAUUCCAGACCUUGGCCUCCGGAGUAACUCGAUUAGGGGUAGUUGAAUAGAGAGGACGAGGCGAGGAAUAGGAAGGAGGUGAUAAAGAGGUCGAGCGAGGAAAAGAUAUUAGAGGGUAAACAGACUGAUGCGCUCGCGGAAACACGUGAUCGAGUUAACAGACGCGUUUACGUUUCAAGGGAAGUCGACGGAUAGAAUGUAACGACGAUGGCCUGUUCGAGUCUCGGCUUUGAAACGGUUCCAAAAUUUUUUAAACCUGUUCGAAUCCCAUCGGUACGUGCAAGGGGAAGAUUUUUAACAGCGACGGGACAAUCAUCCAUCACGCGUUAUCGCUUAUUUUUCCAUUCACUUGGAGUAAAGCUCGAUAAAAGAGUCCGGGAUAGGACACUCGCCAUGGUCGACGCGUCAACGCGUUGUUUUUUUAUACUUUGCAACGUCUGGCUCCUAAAAAUCUUUCUCUUGUAAGACUCGCGGGAUUAUCGAUGGGGCAAACAAUUUCUAGCAACGCCUCUGUGCAGAAAAUACCUUUUAUCUUUUCGAUA